UGGGCCGGCACGUUUACUUUGAACAAAUUAGAGUGCUAAAAGCAGGCCUCACGCCUGAAUAUUGUGUGCAUGGAAUAAUAGAAUAGGACCUCGGUUCUAUUUUGUUGGUUUUCGGAACCCCGAGGUAAUGAUUAAUAGGGACAGACGGGGGCAUUCGUACUGCGACGUUAGAGGUGAAAUUCUUGGAUCGUCGCAAGACGAACUACUGCGAAAGCAUUUGCCAAGAAUGUUUUCAUUAAUCAAGAACGAAAGUUGGGGGCUCGAAG
rnacentral:rRNA from 1 species